AAAUAUUCCAGCCGCAUGUGGCUGAUGUAUUUUGCUUGUAGUGAUGCUUCAGAUGGUCACCAGUACAGGGGAGAUGCUGCCGGAUUUUUGUCUAGCAGAGACUCCUUUGGGGGCGUGACAUCAAUUGUAGCUCUCGGUAGAGACAAGUAUGGUGGAAUCCGAUAAAGGGGUGUUGUUGGGUGGCUUUCUAAGUUCCGGCAACAACUAUCCAGGUUGAGGUAAGACGAGUAGAUUAUUUUCUUGAAUUAGGUUCUUGUUGGAAUGCUUGGUUGAAUCCGUGAUCUCCUUUAUAUUUGAUCUUAAUAGAGGAGUGGAUUUUCCAGCAAGUGUUGUUUCUGUGGAUUUAGAAUUGUGUAAUGUGGGUGCUCUUGGUUCAGCUCUCCUUGUUCCAGCAUCAACAGUAGCUGGGAAUUGAGGACUCUGAUGCGAGACAGGCGUCUCGACAUUGGAUUUGGCGUGAUACUACCUGCUAUUUGAAGCCGGUUGAUGUUGUUGGGAGAUAUUCCAGUUGCUAGCCCCCAUUGUCGCGAGGAUUUCUAGUUGUCGAUUUCUGUUUUCGCCUCUAAGUAUAUACCGGUGAUGUGGGUUUUGUAUUGUGGACUUUAUGUCGAACUUUUGGGUUUGCUACUUUUGUUUUCCACUACGGAUAUUUUCCUUACUUCGUGGAUUUCAUUUCUUCAUUGUAGUGGAG